CGGCGGACGGGUGAGUAACACGUGGAUAACCUACCUAUAAGACUGGGAUAACUUCGGGAAACCGGAGCUAAUACCGGAUAAUAUAUUGAACCGCAUGGUUCAAUAGUGAAAGACGGUUUUGCUGUCAAUUAUAGAUGGAUCCGCGCCGCAUUAGCUAGUUGGUAAGGUAACGGCUUACCAAGGCAACGAUGCGUAGCCGACCUGAGAGGGUGAUCGGCCACACUGGAACUGAGACACGGUCCAG
rnacentral:rRNA from 1 species